GGAUAGCUCAGUCUGUAGAUCGUGAGACUCUUAAUCUUAGGGUCGUGGGUUUGAGCCCCGUGUUGGGCA